UAUAUUUACGAUACAUGAAGUCGUUUUAUGUGUAGUAUAUUUACGAUACAUGAAGUAGUUUUAUGUGUAGUAUAUUUACGAUACAUGAAGUAGUUUUAUGUGUAGUAUAUUUACGAUACAUGAAGUAGUUUUGUGUGUAGUAUAUUUACGAUAGAUGAAGUAGUUUUAUGUGUAGUAUAUUUACGAUACAAUGAAGUCGUUUUGUGUGUAGUAUAUUUACGAUACAUGAAGGAACUGUGCUCAUGAACAUAUGACAUCUGUAAUAGCCUCUGUAAUAGCCUCUGUAAUAGCCUCUGUAAUAGCCUUCUCGGUGAAUAAAUCCGGGAUUCGAUCCGAUGUAGCUCACUUGACAUUUGAUUCUUGGUAACUUCCGAUUUGACAUGUUCACCGAUCUCCGCCAACAGUGAAAUAUUGCUUUUAAAGAGGUGCAAUCGUAGCCUAAUUGUGCAAUUGGAUUGAAUCCCUGCCUAAAUGUAUUUAUUCAGAGAAAACUAGACUAGAUGUUGCACUAGUGCUUCUUAAAAAAAGCAGUUAACGAGACAAACUCGACACAUUGUCAAAACACAGUGUUUAAUAGACAUUACAUAGGCAGUCUGAUGAGAGGAGUACUAACCACUGAUCCAAGGUCAGAUGUUACCAGUAGAUGACUAUAAGGGAAACUACUUCAACCGUACUAACCACUGAUCCAAGGUCAGAUGUUACCAGUAGAUGACUAUAAGGGAAACUACUUCAACCGUACUAACCACUGAUCCAAGGUCAGAUGUUACCAGUAGAUGACUAUUAGGGAAACUACUUCAACCGUACUAACCACUGAUCCAAGGUCAGAUGUUACCAGUAGAUGACUAUUAGGGAAACUACUUCAACCGUACUAACCACUGAUCCAAGGUCAGAUGUUACCAGUAGAUGACUAUUAGGGAAACUACUUCAACCGUACUAACCACUGAUCCAAGGUCAGAUGUUACCAGUAGAUGACUAUUAGGGAAACUACUUCAACCGUACUAACC